UGGACUGUAUGUGUUUAUAUUGUUUGGGCCUCAUACUUUUCGCUUUGUGGCCCCAAACCUCCCCAUCAGCCACCAUCUCCGGCCGCCGCCGCCGGCCAGCGCCAGUGCAGCGGCGGCGGCCGCGGCGAGGCUGAAGUCGGCUCCCGCUCACAGCUCCUCCCCUCUUCUCCCUCUCCUAUUCUGUUGAAGCUCAGAUUUAUGCGGGGGCUGUUCACAUCUGCGCAUCCUUUGCUCAGAUCCGUGCUCUAGAAGCCAAGAUCAAGCUUCUCCCAUGGUGGAGAUCCCUGGUAGUGGUGUCUGGCGUGCGCAGCGGUCAUGGCUCCUACCGCCGGGGCUGGUGACCACUGCUGCGCGGGGUGAGGCCACGCUUGCUCCCGGUGCCCGCUGGGAUGAUGUCCUGCUGCGGACGACGGCUACCUCGCCCCCAGGAUGGGCGUUGCUACCUGCUAGCUUCGCUCCGGGGGCGGCUUGCGGCGGCCGGCGUGUGCGGGUGCGGUGGUGCUCUGCUGCUCGCUCCUUGCCGUGCGUUGGCAGAGCUCCCUGUGGGCGGGUGUUCCAGGAUUCGCUGGUGAAAGCCAUCUCUGGUUUCCAAUAACCAGUGGCAACGAGGACGAUUGCGGGCGCCAUUCCCCUCCAUGGAGGCGUUGUCUUGCGACUCCCGCACCUUUUCCAUGGUAGCUGGCGUGGUCCAUUCUGUGGCAGCUGCUACCGUGCAGCGAAAGCUUUGCGCCCGGCACGCAGGGGGCGUCUCGCCUUCGCACGGUCUGCCAGGGUUCUCGACCAAUCAUGAAAGCUUGGGGUUCAUCUGCUUCUCCGUUGUGCUACACUUCUUGGACCAGAUUGAUACCGGUUGUUGGCUACUGCUGUGGUUCGGAUUCCUCCCCAUGUAUGGCGUUGGAUGGCGAGACAUGGAGCCUGGAUGUUUUCUUCAAAGGUGUAACCAUCCGCUUCAAAAAGGAAGAUCGUCGUGUCUGGUAACCUUUGGCUUGCACGCCUUCCAUCAUCUUUAGUCCCCAUUCCGUUGGCCUGACCCUCAGAUGGAGGGUGACAAUGGAGCGGCGUAGCUACGAGAGGUGGUGUGGAUGCGCAAUGGCCAAGGCAUUAUUUAGCAAGUAUGUUGUUUUGGUGGAAUCUCAAAUUGGUGAUCGGUAGUUGUCUUCCUAACCUGUGUCUAUGUCUUGUCCUCUAAAUUACAUGUCCGCAUUUCUUCCCUUCUUUGUUGUGUCUUGUCCAAUUGUAUUUCUUGCUGAAGAUCAUGUACUGUUUUGCCUUCCAAAGGCCUAUGAAUGAAAUCCAGGUGGUGAUCCCCCCUGACCCCUCAAAAAAAAA